rnacentral:rRNA from 1 species
GCUCAGGACGAACGCUGGCGGCGUGCUUAACACAUGCAAGUCGAACGAUGAAACCGCUUCGGUGGUGGAUUAGUGGCGAACGGGUGAGUAACACGUGGGCAAUCUGCCCUUCACUCUGGGACAAGCCCUGGAAACGAGGUCUAAUACCGGAUAACACUCUGAUCCGCAUGGGACGGGGUUGAAAGCUCCGGCGGUGAAGGAUGAGCCCGCGGCCUAUCAGCUUGUUGGUGGGGUAAUGGCCUACCAAGGCGACGACGGGUAGCCGGCCUGAGAGGGCGACCGGCCACACUGGGACUGAGACACGGCCCAGACUCCUACGGGAGGCAGCAGUGGGGAAUAUAGCACAAUGGGCGAAAGCCUGAUGCAGCGACGCCGCGUGAGGGAUGACGGCCUUCGGGUUGUAAACCUCUUUCAGCAGGGAAGAAGCGCAAGUGACGGUACCUGCAGAAGAAGCGCCGGCUAACUACGUGCCAGCAGCCGCGGGAAUACGUAAGGAACAAGCGUUGUCCGGAAUUAUUGGGCGUAAAGAGCUCGUAGGCGGCUUGUCACGUCGGAUGUGAAAGCCCGGGGCUUAACCCCGGGUCUGCAUUCGAUACGGGCUAGCUAGAGUGUGGUAGGGGAGAUCGGAAUUCCUGGUGUAGCGGUGAAAUGCGCAGAUAUCAGGAGGAACACCGGUGGCGAAGGCGGAUCUCUGGGCCAUUA